rnacentral:lncRNA from 10 species
GUUUUGUUUGAGACAGGGUCUCUCUCUGCCACCCAGGCUGGAGUGCAGUGGUGCCAUCUCAGCUCACGGCAGCCUCAACCUCCCCAGCUCAGGUGAUCCUCCUUCCUCAGCCUCUUGGGUACCUGGGACUGUAUGCACAUGCCACCACGUCUAGCUAUUUUUUUUUUUGUACUUUUUGAUACAGUCAGGGUUCAUCAUGUUGCCCACGCUGAUCUUAAACUCAACUCCUGGGCUCAAGCAGUCCACCUGCCUUGGCCUCCCAAAGUGCUGGGAUUACAGGUGUGAGACACUGCGCCCUGCCCAGUUUUCUGUUAGAUGAAUUAGGUAUAAGGAAAAUAAAAACAAACAAAAAACAGGAAUAAGGAAAAUAGCAGGUGUCUCACUCAUUUUGUAUGUUUCAAAUAAUUCUACCGUAAAACAUUAAAAAAAAUUCUUUUCGCUUAUUCUAGGCAGUGAUGACUUCUUAGGGAAUUCAGUCCCUCAACCUUUGCUCAGAUCCUACUUCACUUGGUGUACUUUGCAGGGGGACCUUUUAUGGGUCAGCAGGACACGAGGCUGGGAGAAGUGAUGGUGGACGAGGACGGCUGGGAGCAGGGACCCACCUUCCUGAUGUCAUGACUGUGCAAGCUGGGGCUGUUGGUGCUGUGCAGCCCCCCUCGCCUGGGGGCCAGGGUGUGGGGGACAUGAGAGGCCACCCAGGUGAGGCAGACUUGGGCCUUCCAGCUGCAGGGCGACUGCGGGGCGGGGUGACUGCGGGGCAGGGCGUGCUCGCUGCUUGGAUCCCAGGAACGUGAUAGACCCCAGCCCUGCUGGGACAGGCUCUGGCCACCCUAGCCCAACAUCAAUCCCUGCCGCUCCAUCAAGGUCCUGGGACUUACUUUCUGGUCCCCUGAAUCCACACAGCCUCUCCCUGACCACCCAUGUCUGGCUCUGUCCCCCACAGAGGGCUAGUGGGCACCUUCUGAGCAGGAGGGUUCCAGACAGGCCGGGAGUAAGGGACUAGCUAGUCUGUGUGGCCAGGGCCGGCCCCUCCAGCAGCUGCUGUGUUGUCUGCCCUGACACCGGGGAGGGGCUGCACCUCGGCCUUUUGGUCCUUCCCCUUCAGCCUCUUGGGGUACCCUGAAGUGAACGUGGUGAGGUGCAC